rnacentral:rRNA from 1 species
CCUACGGGGGGCAGCAGUGGGGGAUAUUGCACAAUGGGGGGAACCCUGAUGCAGCGACGCCGCGUGGGUGAUGGAGGGUUUCGGAGCGUAAAGCCCUAUCGGCAGGGAAGAAGGAGGACGGUACCUGACAAAGAAGCGCCGGCUAACACCGUGACAGAAGCCGCGGUAAUACGGAGGGGGCAAGCGUUAUCCGGAUUUACGGGGUGUAAAGGGGGCGCAGACGGCAGCGCAAGCUAGGAGUGAAAGCCCGGGGCACAACCCCGGGACUGCUCUUGGAACUGCGCGGCUUGAGUGCAGGAGGGGGUGGCGGAAUUCCUGGUGUAGGGGUGAAAGGCGUAGAUAUCAGGAGGAACACCGGUGGCGAAGGCGGCCUGCUGGACUGCGACUGACGUUGAGGCCCGAAAGCGUGGGGAGCAAACAGGAUUAGAUACCCGGGUAGUC